rnacentral:rRNA from 1 species
AAAUUGAAGAGUUUGAUCAUGGCUCAGAUUGAACGCUGGCGGCAGGCCUAACACAUGCAAGUCGAGCGGCAGCGGGAAAGUAGCUUGCUACUUUUGCCGGCGAGCGGCGGACGGGUGAGUAAUGCCUGGGGAUCUGCCCAGUCGAGGGGGAUAACUACUGGAAACGGUAGCUAAUACCGCAUACGCCCUACGGGGGAAAGCAGGGGACCUUCGGGCCUUGCGCGAUUGGAUGAACCCAGGUGGGAUUAGCUAGUUGGUGAGGUAAUGGCUCACCAAGGCGACGAUCCCUAGCUGGUCUGAGAGGAUGAUCAGCCACACUGGAACUGAGACACGGUCCAGACUCCUACGGGAGGCAGCAGUGGGGAAUAUUGCACAAUGGGGGAAACCCUGAUGCAGCCAUGCCGCGUGU